GAGGGAAGACUGCAGCCCUAGCAGCGACUCCGGGGGUUGACCCACCUAGCUCGAUUUAAGCUCACCCGCCGGAUAGGGGUGGGGCGGGCGUGGUAUGUUUUUGCUCCCUCUUUUCCACCGUGCCGCCGCCGAGUGUGCGCGUGUGUGAUCCAGCGACGCCGCCACACCCCUGUUCUGACCCGGGGCUUUGACCGCCUUUUCGAGUGACAUAUGGAUUCUAUUACCUGAAGAUGAGCCUUCUCUCAUGUCAUGUAACUCAGCUGGUGAUGUGGUUAUUGUGCCAUAGUUCCCUUUUACUAUCCUGCCUCAGUUUCCCUAAUUGUUCUGCAUCAGUCCCCUUAGUUGCAAACCACCCCCAACUCCCUCCGGUUCAUUAAGACUGAUAUAACUCGGGGCUACUUACUCUAAGGUUAUAAAUUGUCAAUGUGUAAACUCAAGAUAAGGGAGUGUCCAGAUUUCCUGGCUCUAAGCUGGACACUUCCUUAACUCCCAGUUUAUUAGAAUUUAUGGUCCUACCCCCCAACCUGUCAGAACUGGAUUGAUGGUCCCUGACUGGAGAUUCCAGCUCACCAGAGUUUGGCCUCUACCCUCUCCCAUCCCUCCACCCUCCAUUUUUGAGAACUCACAUUUGCUGCUGGAUACUUUGGACAUCAGCCUUGGGGGCAACAUGCCCCCAGAACAAUCUCUCCCUCUCAGAAAUCAAAUAAAAUAUUAAAAAAUCUCUAA